rnacentral:tRNA from 1 species
GCGUCGGUGGUUCAGUGGUAGAAUACUCGCCUGCCACGCGGGUGACCCGGGUUCGAUUCCCGGCUGACACG